rnacentral:lncRNA from 1 species
AAGAUUAUAAGAGACAGUGGGGAUGGAGGACUCCAAGGAAACAGUAACCUUCAGACAAAAUUGGACUGGCACACAGAUGACAUCACAGAUACUGAGGAAGCAUGGUACAGAGGUCUAAGACACGUGUCAUCUCGGCACUGAGGGUGGAAGUAGACAAGAGCCCCUCUCCAUAAACAAGAAGCUAUCUCCAGUUAACAAUUGCUUGCAAAAGAAAAGGACAACAUAUUUAAGAAAUUCUGAGGUUAUAGAUCCAGGCUGCCACAGCAACUUAUCCAGAUGAACUAGAGAACAAGUCACUGAUGAGACACCUCUCCCGACAUUAAUAGGAAAGCCUCACGUACUGGGAUGGAUGAGUAGAAAGCAAAUGGCAGAGGACAUCUUCUAUUUGUGAACUAGAAUGACAAAAAUGAAGCCUGGAUGGCCUAAUCCCACCAAGGUGCAUACCUUCUUCCAGUUACUUAAGGACCUGUUAUUAGUCCUUACCUAACAUCUCACAAGAACACGUUCCUGGGGUCAAGCCUUUAAAACCCUCCAGAGGAUGACCAGCUAAAUGUCAGACAAUGAAUUAAGUACUUUUAAA